rnacentral:rRNA from 1 species
CAUACAUGUUUGAUAUACGCCUAAGGAUGGGGUGCGGCCGAUCAGGCUGUUGGUGAGGUAAUGGCUCACCAAACCUUUGACCGGUAUGGGCCAUGAGAGUGGUAGCCCAGAGAUGGACACUGAGACAAGGGUCCAGGCCCUACGGGGCGCAGCAGGCGCGAAACCUCCUCAAUGCACUAACGUGCGAAGGGGUUACCUCGAGUGCCAUCUGAAAAAGGUGGCUUUUCCUUGGUCUAAAAAGCCUCGGGAAUAAGAGGGGGGCAAGACUGGUGUCAGCCGCCGCGGUAACACCAGCCCCUCGAGUGGUGGGGAUGAUUAUUUGGCCUAAAGCGUCCGUAGCCGGCCGGGUAAGUUUCCCGUUAAAUCCAACGUCUCAAGCGUUGGACUGCGGGAAAUACUGCCUGGCUAGAGAGUGGGAGAGGUCAGCGGUAUUCUGGGGGUAGGGGCGAAAUCCUUUGAUCCCCGGAGGACCACCAGUGGCGAAGGCUGCUGACUAGAACACGUCUGACGGUCAGGGACGAAAGCUGGGGUAGCGAACCGGAUUAGAUACCCGGGUAGUCCCAGCCGUAAACGAUGCAUGCUAGGUGUUGGGUUGGCCACGAGCCACCCCAGUGCCGCAGGGAAGCCGUUAAGCAUGCCGCCUGGGAAGUACGAUCGCAAGAUUGAAACUUAAAGGAAUUGGCGGGGGAGCACCACCAGGCGUGAAGCCUGCGGUUUAAUUGGAUUCAACGCCGGAAAGGGC